AGAGGAGGCUAUACUGCAGUCGAGCGAGCUUGCCUAGAUGAUUUUAGUGCUUGCACUAAAUGAAACUAGAUACAAGCGACCCGUGGACGGGUGAGUAACACGUGGGUAACCUGCCCAAGAGACUGGGAUAACACCUGGAAACAGAUGCUAAUACCGGAUAACAACACUAGACGCAUGUCUAGAGUUUGAAAGAUGGUUCUGCUAUCACUCUUGGAUGGACCUGCGGUGCAUUAGCUAGUUGGUAAGGUAACGGCUUACCAAGGCAAUAAUGCAUAGCCGAGUUGAGAGACUGAUCGGCCACAUUGGGACUGAGACACGGCCCAAACUCCUACGGGAGGCAGCAGUAGGGAAUCUUCCACAAUGGACGAAAGUCUGAUGGAGCAACGCCGCGUGAGUGAAGAAGGGUUUCGGCUCGUAAAGCUCUGUUGGUAGUGAAGAAAGAUAGAGGUAGUAACUGGCCUUUAUUUGACGGUAAUUACUUAGAAAGUCACGGCUAACUACGUGCCAGCAGCCGCGGUAAUACGUAGGUGGCAAGCGUUGUCCGGAUUUAUUGGGCGUAAAGCGAGUGCAGGCGGUUCAAUAAGUCUGAUGUGAAAGCCUUCGGCUCAACCGGAGAAUUGCAUCAGAAACUGUUGAACUUGAGUGCAGAAGAGGAGAGUGGAACUCCAUGUGUAGCGGUGGAAUGCGUAGAUAUAUGGAAGAACACCAGUGGCGAAGGCGGCUCUCUGGUCUGCAACUGACGCUGAGGCU
rnacentral:rRNA from 1 species